rnacentral:rRNA from 1 species
UACGGAGGGUGCAAGCGUUAUCCGGAUUUACUGGGUUUAAAGGGUGUGUAGGCGGGCUUUUAAGUCAGUGGUGAAAUCUCCGGGCUCAACCUGGAAACUGCCAUUGAUACUAUUAGUCUUGAAUUUUGUUGAGGUAGGCGGAAUAAGUCAUGUAGCGGUGAAAUGCAUAGAUAUGACUUAGAACACCAAUUGCGAAGGCAGCUUGCUAAACAAACAUUGACGCUGAGGCACGAAAGCGUGGGGAUCAAACAGG